rnacentral:siRNA from 1 species
AGGCCUCCCACUCGUUCCUACGAC